rnacentral:misc_RNA from 1 species
UACAUCGUCACUCCGUUCUAGCCAGUCGCCAUUGAGCAGCCAUUUUGGUGUGUAAGGAGUGCUCAAGUACCAAAAAUCAGUGAUCUAAAUAAUUGUUUUCGGUAGGAAAAGUAUCAAAACUGCUAGUUAGUGACCCAUAUGGCUUGUUUAAAUACGUUGAAACAAGAGAUAAGGACAUUAGAAUCGGUUUUUACGAAAAAUCAUGAACGGUUUAAGAUCAUCUCUGCCAGUGUUGACGAAUUGACAUGUAGGUUUAUUGGAAAGAAUGCUGUAGAAUACACGAUCCAUGCGAAUAUUACGGAAACUUAUCCCGCAUCACCACCCGUGUGGUUUGCAGAUUCCGAAGAAACUAGUAUAGCAAAUGCGGUUCAAAUAUUAAGCAACACAGAAGGCUUGGACAAUCAUGUCCUCCAUCAGGUGAUAAUACUUCUUAGGGAACUAUGCCGAUUGCAUGGCGUUCCAGAACCACCCGACUUAGAAAGACUGCAUAUUCUAAAUCCACUAACAACAAAUCGAAUAACAUCUCGUAAUAGCACUGGCGACGGAGACUACGCAAUGGACGAUGAAAACUUAGAUAGCGACGCAGAUUUGGAUAUCGCCGAUAGUGAUGGCGAAGAAGAUAGUGAUGCUGACGAGGAUCUUGCAAUGGAAGUCGAAGACAACAGACCGAAAGCAGACGAAAUGGGAGUGGAACACUUGGCCACAUUGGAACGAUUAAGACAGAAUCAACGUCAGGAUUACUUAAGGGGCUCAGUGUCGGGUUCCGUCCAAGCCACAGAUCGUCUCAUGAAAGAAUUACGCGACAUAUACCGAUCAGACUCCUUCAAAAACAAGAUGUACCAGAUCGAAUUAGUUAGCGAUUCACUCUAUGAGUGGAACGUCAGAUUGAUGUGCGUUGAUCCUGAUAGCCCUCUCAGCCAUGAUCUCCAGAUGCUCAAAGAGAAAGAGGGCAAAGACGCGAUUCAGCUCAAUAUGUUAUUCAAAGACACGUAUCCAUUUGAGCCACCAUUUGUCAGAGUUGUGCAUCCUAUUAUCUCAGGUGGAUAUGUCUUGGUUGGAGGUGCCAUCUGCAUGGAACUAUUGACGAAACAAGGCUGGUCUAGUGCGUAUACAGUAGAAGCUGUGAUAAUGCAGAUCUCGGCUACCUUGGUAAAAGGCAAAGCUCGCAUCCAGUUUGGAACACCAAAAGUCUGCUCACAGGGGCAGUAUAGUCUAGCGCGUGCCCAACAAAGCUUCAAAUCUCUUGUACAAAUUCACGAGAAGAAUGGUUGGUUCACGCCCCCAAAAGAAGAUGGCUAAACCGACGAAGGCGACGACCAACUUCUUAUUUUUAUUUCUACAUUUUCUGUGGGCGUAGAACGCAUUGUUUCAAAAAAAAAAUAUCGCCCCUAAAAUAAACAGAGUUCCCAAAAAAUCGUCAAAAUCGUUGUUCUUAGUGCCUGCGGACAGUUUCUUUUGUUCCUUGAAAUAUUACCGUAGUGGCAGGACUAUUAGCGAGUUGUUUCAUUAGAAUGUGAUUUUUUUUAAUUCUUUUUCUGAUUAGUUAAAAAAUAAUUUCUAAAAACGAAGCACGUUCGAGUGGAAAAAAAUGACUGUGACUGUUUUAAUCUUUGUAGACGAAUCGUUAUAGAUUUUUCCUCGAUACCAAAUGUUAGACAACUCUCGGCAAAAUGUUCAAAUCACAGUGAGCUAUAUAAAAAGGUGACUACUACAACAACAUAGUUUUAUUUCAUUUUAUGACUACGACUUAGCACUAAUCAAUAAACUUAUUUAUACGGUGAAACUCGCUUAUUGGAAUAGCCUUCUUGAAAAGCAAAAGUAUUCCUAUAACCGGGAUAUUCUAAUAACCAAUCAUUGGUGGCUAGUAGAAACAUUUUGGGACCUUAAACUUCUAUUCCUUAAACCGGGAUAUUUCUAUAACUGGUAUUCGAAUAAGCGGGUUAGACUCUAUCGCAUAUACCAAAAUUCGGGUUUUUAAUUUUCUUACUCGAUUGGAUCUAGUGAACAAAGGCUUAUCAACGAAUUACAUAAAAUUUACAAUGUUUCUUCCAAUUUAAAUAAGUAUUUAGUCUGAAUAAACUGACUAAACGUGAGGAACAAAUUAUUUGCUGGCGUAUAUUUUGCCUUUUUCUUCUUUAAGUGCCAUCUCUGCGACGAAGCACACUCUCUACAUAACAUUUAAUUAGUCUUAUUCUGAAGGCCAAUGUCAAAUCUUUUAAGCAUAAAAUCUUUUUCAUUUUCACGAAGUUGUCACAUGCUUUUUCAAUUCUCACUCUUAUUUUUGCAGUAUAAUCGUUAUUUUCUGUGAUUAUCGUUCGCAAGUAAGUAUAUUUGUUUAAAACUUUAAAAAGGGGGUAAACCCUGUAGUUGGCUGUAUACCUUCAAUAUAACAACGUGGAAUGAAGUAAACACUUCUGUUGUAUGUAGACAUAUGAAUUUAUUAAAAAAUCCUUAAAAUUUAUCCACGAAUGAGUGGAAGUACAAAACGUUUUCGGUCAGACUGACCAUCAUCAGUGUAAACCUGGAAAUAAGUGAACCACUAAGAUUAAAAGCAAAAGGGUGAAAUAUUGACAGUUGAAAAAAUUUAAGAAAAUGUGGUUACUUACGUCCAGUGUACAAGUAAUUGUAACUAGCCACUUCAAUAGGUAUAAAAACCUCUAAAAUACAUUAUUGUUACAUUUAAUAUUAAAAAGUGGUCGACAUUAAGUCGAUGUCUUAAGAUUUAAAGAUCACAUGUGAAUGUAUUUCAUCCUUGCUCGAAAAUUGCACAAGGUAUGUACUUGUGUUCAGGUGAGAGGUUACGAACCAACUGAUUAGACAGUUUGGUGCCAUAAAUGUAUGACAAGAUGUCAAAGGAAGUUAGGUGGAUUUUUCAUCUGUCAACCGAAAAAAAUUUUAAUUUUCAUUUCAAUAUACCAAUUAAAACUAAAUAUUAAUCUCUUUGUUAAAAAUUUUUUAACAAAGGAUAACCAUCCACUUGAUCUAACAUAGCGACAAAAGACACUUCGUGGAUAAAUUUUAAGGAUUUUUUAAUAAAUUCAACAACAGAAGUGUUUACUUCAUUCCACGUUGUUAUAUUUCUUUACUCUCUCAAUCUGCUGGCUGCAUACCGUUAAUAUUUCGAUUGUAUUGUUGUUCUUGCUAAUUUUCAUAAAUUUGGUCUUUUUGAUGUUAAGACUAAGACUCUCCAUCUCAUGGUUAGGUCCAGGACUUAUUGACCGAGGUAUUAUGCAUCAAAAAUUCGUUAAAAUAUGUCAAGUCACCUAAAUUUUUUCUGGGUAGGAUCCUUAAAUUUGUAAUCUCGUGAAAAAUGGCCAUUACCAAUAUUUUUAGCAAUUAAUAAUUUUGUGGUCGAGUUGAAUUUUCGUGGGUAAUAAUACUUUAUAAAAAAUUUUCUUAAUACAAGUAAAUCCCCACCAAUUAUGUAGCUAUGACUGUUGAUAAUGAAAAUAUUUUCCCAAGUGACGUACAUAUAAUUUCAAAAAUACUUGCCGAUUGGAAUCGAGGUAAAAAUGAUUUCCUUAUUUAAAGGAAAGGGAUCGAAAGUUCUCGUAGAGGUGUGCAAUGGUUGUUUUGUUUUGGUAUUGUAAUAGUGUGGGAAGGGAAAUAGGUCUUGGGCCCACCAUUUAAAAAUAAUAUUACUUUCCUUGUGAGACUUUUUUUAUUCAGUUAUUCAUGUCGAGUCGGGCAACUUAUCUAUUUCGGAAAAUUUUGGGAGGGGGUGUUUCGUAAAUAUACAGGGUGUCCCCGAAAAUAGUGCGUUCCUUUAAGGUAUGGAUAUAAUACACAAUUUAGAACAAAAAAGUCCUAUAACAUUUUUUUCUAAAGUUGACCGUUUCCAAAAAAAAAAUUACAUUUUCUCCAUAUACUGUGGAACCUCGAUUAUCCGUCUCUCUAUUAACCGUCACCUCUGUUAACCAUCAGGGUCCAUACAUAAGUUGUUAUAUUGACUACAUAAGUAAAAAUUUAGUCAUCAAUUAAUUUUGUUUGAGCAUUGCGAUAAGCCAAACGAAAUUCGUUGAAAUGUACACGUGCAGUAAUGCCACCACCGCAUUUUUUAUGUAAAUAAGUUUUGUUCUUAUUCAGGGCUCUGGAUUAAAUUUCAAUUUAAAUAGGUAACGAUAAAUGAUACCAUGCUUUUAGAGUUCUAUUUUUAGAAUCGCAAGCCGAAAAUAAAAACGCACGGCACAAUAAUUAUUAGAUUUGAUGAUUUUACGUCGAUUAAGAAAUUCAGCACUUGCAAAAUGUAAAGUAACAAGAAAACAAACAAAGAAUUCGGAAUAUUUUAAAUCAAACUAAUUCGACUGUACUAACAUAAAUACCUCUUAUAUUGUCAAAUAAAACAUACAAAUACAAUUUAAGAGCUAUAUGAACUAUGUUAUUUUUUUUUAAUGUUCUGUUAACCGUCUUUUCGAUUAUCCGUCAUACCCUUGGUCUGGUGCCCUGACGGAUAAUCGAGGUUCCACUGUAAGUGAAUUUUUAUUUUCAUAAAUUUGAAUGACAUGGCAACGUAGCCUAGAAGAACUUGCCGUGACUGUGGAAAUUUAACCUAAUAACCCCCUUGUUUAUUUACUUUGAGGUGUGAUUUUUGGGGUUGUUGACAUCGUAGGUACCUACCUGCAUAAUAAUGGAUAUGGGUUUGGUUCAUACAGUGGAACCUCGAUAACUCGGAUUAAUCGGGACCGCGACCGAUCCGGGUUAUCGAAAAUCCGAGAUAGCCGGAGAAUAUGGUAAAAAUUAAUAAAAUACGGUAUACUUACAGAUAAACUCCGUUAGAAUUGAAAUAACAUGAAAUAUAUUUAUAACUAUGCACAGUACAUACUCAUUAAAAUUACUAAAAAAAACACCAAACCCAAACGUAAGCAAAUGGAAGCGAACAAUACAAGACACACAAUACUAAAGACCAUUGUUUAUAAAAAGAAUUUUUUAAAUAGUCUUUCCUAAACAAUGCUGACAGUUUGAAAUAAAAAGGAAUAUAUACUACAGACAGGUCGCUGUUGUUUCUGCGGCGUGUGCUAUGAGUCAUUUUUAAUAUCGUAUAGUUCAAAUUACACACAUACACAUUAUCUCUCAAAUAUUAUACAUUUUUAUUGUUGAAAGGUUUGUCUGAUAAUUAACUACUUUGAUUGGAAAUAAGCCACAAUUAAAUUGAAAAAUACAAAAUAUUGAAAAUCAAAAUGUUUAUCUGAUGAAAAUCGGUCCGGGUUAGCCGGACUUCCGGGUUAUCGUGGGCCGACUUAUCGGGGUUCCACUGUAUUUACAUUAUUUUACCUACCAGGUGCAACUGACCUACUUUUUUAAUCUUUAGAUUUUUGAGUUGCGCGUUGUUGCCAGAUUUCAAUUUGCAUAUCAAAAUGUAUUUUCGUUUUUUUGGUCAAACGGAUCAAUUUAGAAAAAAAUGUUAUAAGACUUUUUUGGUCUACAUUGUGCCUUCUACCUAUACCUUUAAGGAACGCACUAUUUUCGGGGACAUCCUGUAGAGAGGAUUCUAAACGUUGGCGCCUCCAACAACUGGAGUACUCUUAAAAAUUUGUCAGACAAUAUUACCAGUUAAUUAUAAAUAUUUUUAUCAAACAGUACUGCAAAAAUCAGCUGUGAGCGUAUUUUAUAUAAAUUUUAUGAAUAUGAUGCGUGCGCCCCUUCAUCUAUGGGGGGCACUAUAGAGUCAUAAAUGAUGGUUUUUUUGCAGGAUUGUUUAAUAAAAAUAAUUAAAUUUACUGGUAAUAUUGCCUGACAAUGCAUAUACUGCAUAUAAGUCUAAUGGAUAGAAAGAUAAACGAGUGGAUAAGAGAGAAAACAAAAGUUAGGGAUGUUAAACAAGAAGUUGCAAAAUUAAAAUGGAGAUUUGCUGGACACAAUAUAAGACAAAGAGAAGACCAAUGGAACAAAAUUCUUAUAAAUUAAAAACUGUGGGACUAUAAACAAAAGGAUUGGGGAGGCCUAUGUAGUACAGUUGUCGGACGCACCAAAGUUUAGAAACCUCUAUUUAGGAAACGCCCCCCUCCCGAAAAUUUUCCGAAAUAGAAAAGUUUUCCGACCCGACGUGAAUGACUGAAUAAAAAAAGUCUCAUGAAGAAAGUACUAUAUUUUUUUAAAUUGCGGGCCCAAGGACUAAAAAAUGAGGUUUAUAUAUCACAGUUUGUCCCGGUUUUGACCGAGAGAUGCCCCUCACAAUUUCGGAUAACCCCAUUGGGUUGAAGAACUGAUAUUUUUUUCUUAUUUAGUUGUUAUAGGCUGCUGUAUUGUAAAUGAAAAUAAUAAUAAAAUCUCUUUGUAAUAACUA